rnacentral:snoRNA from 1 species
UGCACUGCAUGGUUUCUGCAUUCAGUAGUUUAUUCCUGCCGGGUGUUCAAAGGACAGUGCAAUAUAAAUUCAGUAUCUGGCAUCGUUGGUUUUCUUGGCUUUGUGGAUGUUAAACCUGGUAUUUUUAUUGAAACAUUA